rnacentral:SRP_RNA from 1 species
GCCAGGUGUGGUGGCACACACCUGUAAUCCCAGCUACUCAGGAGGCUGAGAUAGGAGAAUCACUUGAACCCAGGAGGUGGAGGUUGCAGUGAGCGGAGAUCACGCCACUGUACUCCAGCCUGAGUGACAAAGUGAGACUCUGUCUCAA